CGGACGGGUGAGUAAUGCUUGGGAAUCUGGCUUAUGGAGGGGGAUAACUGUGGGAAACUGCAGCUAAUACCGCGUAUUCUCUGAGGAGGAAAGGGUGGGACCUUAGGGCCACCUGCCAUAAGAUGAGCCCAAGUGGGAUUAGGUAGUUGGUGGGGUAAAGGCCUACCAAGCCUGCGAUCUCUAGCUGGUCUGAGAGGAUGACCAGCCACACUGGAACUGAGACACGGUCCAGACUCCUACGGGAGGCAGCAGUGGGGAAUAUUGCGCAAUGGGGGGAACCCUGACGCAGCCAUGCCGCGUGAAUGAAGAAGGCCUUCGGGUUGUAAAGUUCUUUCGGUAAUGAGGAAGGGAUGUUGUUAAAUAGAUAGCAUCAUUGACGUUAAUUACAGAAGAAGCACCGGCUAACUCCGUGCCAGCAGCCGCGGUAAUACGGAGGGUGCGAGCGUUAAUCGGAAUAACUGGGCGUAAAGGGCACGCAGGCGGACUUUUAAGUGAGAUGUGAAAUCCCUUUAGUUAACUUGGGAACUGCAUUUCAGACUGGGAGUCUAGAGUACUUUACGGAGGGGUA
rnacentral:rRNA from 1 species